AUGCAAGCAACUAAACUCAAAGAAAUCAUUUCGAUAAAGAAAGUUAAAAGUCUUGCCAACUUACAACUAAGAAAGCUACACCAACAAUAUUAAAAGAAAAAGAAUGAGGAAAAAGAUUAAAAGGACAUAAAGGGUACAAUCUGAAAUCACAGGCAUAUAUAAUAGAGUGUAAAAGUGACGUACGUGCAUAAUUUAUAGCUAGCCUUGUAAUUGAACUAUUCUUAAAUUCUA
rnacentral:misc_RNA from 1 species